rnacentral:rRNA from 1 species
CAGUCGCCGCGGUAAAACGUAGGUGGCAAGCGUUGUCCGGAAUUAUUGGGCGUAAAGGGCUCGCAGGCGGUUUCUUAAGUCUGAUGUGAAAGCCCCCGGCUCAACCGGGGAGGGUCAUUGGAAACUGGGAAACUUGAGUGCAGAAGAGGAGAGUGGAAUUCCACGUGUAGCGGUGAAAUGCGUAGAGAUGUGGAGGAACACCAGUGGCGAAGGCGACUCUCUGGUCUGUAACUGACGCUGAGGAGCGAAAGCGUGGGGAGUGAACAGGAUUAGAUACCCCGGUAGUCCCUGUCUCUUAUAC